UACGAAGGGUGCAAACGUUGCUCGGAAUCAUUGGGCGUAAAGCGCACGUAGGCGCCUUGCAAGUCGGAUGUGAAAUCCCACGGCUCAACCGUGGACGUGCAUCCGAAACUGCUCGGCUCGAGUAUGGAAGAGGGUCGCGGAAUUCCCGGUGUAGAGGUGAAAUUCGUAGAUAUCGGGAGGAACACCAGUGGCGAAGGCGGCGACCUGGGCCAAUACUGACGCUGAGGUGGCGAAAGCGUGGGGAGCAAACA
rnacentral:rRNA from 1 species